rnacentral:rRNA from 3 species
UACGAAGGGGGCUAGCGUUGCUCGGAAUUACUGGGCGUAAAGGGCGCGUAGGCGGAUAUUUAAGUCGGGGGUGAAAGCCCAGGGCUCAACCCUGGAAUUGCCUUCGAUACUGGAUAUCUUGAGUUCGGGAGAGGUGAGUGGAAUGCCGAGUGUAGAGGUGAAAUUCGUAGAUAUUCGGCGGAACACCAGUGGCGAAGGCGACUCACUGGCCCGAUACUGACGCUGAGGCGCGAAAGCGUGGGGAGCAAACAGG